GUCACGAAACGGAAAAAACAACUUGAAUGGUAUUUAAUUAUAUCUAUGGAAUGACAUCUGGUUAUAACCAUAAGGCGGUUUGAACAGUACUAAACAAGAUUUAACAGCGAUACAAAUUCGAAUCAAUCAAGAAUGUGUAGAGGAUUAUUGUUAUUCAGCUUAUUAGUAUGUGCUUGUUAUGCCACUCUUCCAAGAAGUGUUGUCAGAACAUUAAGUGUGUCAAACGGUGGCCGCUGUGGUGAAUGGCAAGAACCAAGUUUUUGUCCAGAUGGACAAUUUGCUAGUGGUUAUAGAUUAAAGAUUGAACCAAGAAGAGGAUCAUAUUUCUGGCAAGACGAUAGUUCCCUGAAUGGUAUAGAAUUAUUGUGUAGUACCAGAUUUACUACCUCCGAUGACAGAUUUACCGUAUCAUCUGGGUAUGGUCCUUGGGGAGAUUGGAAAGGAUUGAUUACCUGUGAUAGCAAAAGACAGUUCUUAACCUCCUUCUCUCUCCAAGUUGAAGAUUACCAGGAAUUUUAUUCCAAAAAUAAGAUGCAUUACAACUAUUAUUUCUAAUAUGAAUGUAAGCUUUGAUAAGAAAAAUUAAAAGGAAAAACUCUAAUGACUUUUCAGAAUAUUUUUCAAAUGUGCAUGUGUACUUUAAGAAAACGGAGGGAGAAUGUGACAAUGUGAUAAUGAAACAAAGUACUGUAAGUCAUGGAAAAAACAUUCACAAAGUUAAAAAAGCAACUAAUAGACAAACAGCAAAUAAAAAACACUAUCCAGAAAGAAAAAAGAUAUUGAGCAACAGGAACCAAACAAAAAUCCGAUGGUGAAUUUUGGUCCUGUGGAAAGGUAAGCAACUCCAGUUCCACUAGUGGUAUCCGUCGUGUUGCUUAUUCGGUGAUAAGUCGCAUUCAGUAAUGUUACAAUCCAAGAAAAAAGGACAAGAUUAUUAGAAUUAUGGAAUGCAUUUAGAUAGCAGGAAUUUGGAAAGUUAUAUUCUUGAUUCUAAUCUGUUAUCUUAAGUAAAAUCUCGUCCAUUAUUUUCUAUACGAAUAAGAUAAAAAAAAAACAUACAAAAUUGAAAGUACGAGAAGACAACAAUUCAAUAGUAGUACAUUUCUGAAGAUUUUGAUCAGUUAAAUUAUUUUCUUUUACAAGAAAGUCCACGUUCAUUUGUCUUAUAAUAAAACUUGGCCAUUCAAGUAUAAAAAAAUGAAAAUAACACAAAUACCAAGCUCCACGGAAAAUCCAAAACGGAAAGUCCUUUAUCAAAUAGUGAAAAGCUCAAACACAUCAAACGAAUGGAAAUCAACUGCCGUAUUUCUGACUUGGUACAACAUAUUCAACUUUUGUUUUAAAUUUGUAUCAUAUGACUUUAAUGGAAUGCAAAUGUGUCUUUUAAUUUCACACUACAGUAAAUCUAUCGUAAGAAAAGAAUGUUUGAAGAAUUAGCGAACUUUUUUUUCUAUAAAAAAAAGAUGCAUAAAGCAAUAAAAAAAAAACUCGUUUUCUUUCAAAAAUGAGGGCUCUGCUAUUAGUCGUUUUAACCUUUUUUUAAAACACAUUUCAUUGAUAUGCCGUUGUUAAUAAUGAACAGGAAACAAUAUAAUCAAGACGGAAUAUGUAAAAAAUAAUGCAUUAGCGGAUUCAGAGGGAAGGUACUGGUGAUAUAAUCAAGACGAAAUAUGUAAAAAAUAAUACAUUAGCGGAUUCAAAGGGAAGGUACUGGUAAUAUAAUCAAGACGUAAUAUGUAAACAAUAAGGCAUUAGCGGAUUCAGAGGGAAGGUACUGGUAAUAUAAUCAAGACGAAAUAUGUAAAAAAAUAAGGCAUUAGCGGAUUCAGAGGGAAGGUACUGGUAAUAUAAUCAAGACGUAAUAUGUAAACAAUAAUGCAUUAGCGGAUUCAGAGGGAAGGUACUGGUAAUAUAAUCAAGACGUAAUAUGUUAACAAUAAUGCAUUAGCGGAUUCAGAGGGAAGGUACUGGUAAUAUAAUCAAGACGAAAUAUGUAAAAAAUAAUGCAUUAGCGGAUUCAGAGGGAAGGUACUGGUAAUAUAAUCAAGACGCAAUAUGUAAACAAUAAUGCAUUAGCGGAUUCAGAGGGAAGGUUCUGUUAAUAUAAUCAAGACGUGAUAUGUAAACAAUAAUGCAUUAGCGGAUUCAGGGGGAAGGUGAUGGUAAUUACCCUUCUAUUUAGGGAUACUGUUUGUUAAAAUCAAGUAAAUUGAAUCCGGAAACAUUUUACUUCAAAAUUUCACCGAUCCAAAGAAGAAUCUCCAAAUCCUAGCUUCCUUGCUUUUAAAAGUUACUAGACUAUGCCAUGAUGUAAAUUUUUUUUUUUUUUAAAUACUUUGUAUGUGUAGAUUCAUAUUUGCAAAGGGUUUAGUAUCAUUGAACAUAGUUCAAAGCUAUGAACGAUAUUGCUACUAUUUCUAAUUUACGCACGAAAACUGAAUUAUUGUCAAGAAUAAACAAUAUUUAACGAAAUAUUGAGAGGUUUUUUUUUUACAUUUAAGACCGGGUGGGGACAAACUGAGUUUUACCUCAUUGUUUUUGGAAGGGAAAGGUUGUGACAUGCGGACGAUAAAAUAUGAGUUUGAACAAUUUAUUGCACGAACAUAUUUACUUAAAAUCUUGUUUAUAUUUUGGUUAUUUUUCUGUCAUUUAUUACGGUCUUAUUUACCUUUUAAAACAUCACCGAGAUCUUGUAUUCAUAUUUCAUAAUGUUGUCUCAACGUAAACACAUAAUUAUGUAUUUUAACAGAUAGAAUGUGCACGGGCUUAAUCCAGAACUAUUUGAGAGGAUAAGUUGAUUAAAUAUAUAGCCGUCAAAACAAUUAAGAUCCUUUGUUAUAAAAUUCGAAAAUUUACAACACAGGAAUUUUGCACAAAAUAAUAUAAAUUUAGUUUACACAUGUAUAUAAGCUAGAAUUGCAACAGGAUACUCAAGCCCUAUUGUGUUCGCAAUCAGCCCGCUGACGCAGAAAAACUUUCGAUCGUCAAGUAUGUAUUUUCUUUUUCACAGGUGUCCUUGGGCGGGGCUUGAAAUUUUAUUUGAGGUCGAAUGUUUGAAAAGUGAUCCAUGACAACGAUCGUUCCUUUAUGAGUUGAUCUGAUAAAGUUUGUUUGGCUGAUUAUGUUGUUGGGCCUUUCGUUAAACUUGGCCGAAGUUUGAAAAAAAACUUAAAAUAAAUAAAUAAAAAUAUAAAACAAUGUAUUAUGAUACUAAUAAGGUACAAUUGUAUAAUUUAAGAUAAUGGCAUUUUCUGUACCUACCUUUUUAUAACUACUUUUACUUCCCACACGGUGAUUUAAAAACUGUAUUUUAGUUGAAAUACGAUGUAUUAAUAUUUUAAGCGCUAAACACUUAUAUUUUCAGGGAAAUGGAGAUGACACUGCAGCCAACUAUGUAACAUUUAUUUGUCAUGAGUUUAUCCAUCAUCGCCUCUUUUACCAUUAUCGCGUCAUUGGUGGAAGAGGUUUUUGGGGUGUUUACGGGGCUUGGAGUCAGAGUUGUCCAGCAGGAAGUGCUAUAUGUGGCCUGAGAACUAAGCUGGAGAGUCCUCAAGGCAAUGGGGAUGACACAGCGUUAAAUGAUGUUGAGUUCUAUUGUUGUGGAAGUGAUUAACAUUUCUUUGUACACUACGCUUAACAUUUACUUAUUGUAACCUGCUGCAAAUAUAUAGCAGUUUUACUUUAAUUACAACAGUUUUGUAAAGAACACAAUAUGUUAUCCCAACAUAUAUAUGUUUUUGUUGUUUUUAAGGCAACUGUAGUAUUUUGAUGUUCAAAUCUCAUUAUUCAAUUACGAUCCUGGUAACAAACAAAAACUAAGGGAAUUGUAUUAACUACGCAAAGAGCAAGACCGGCUGCGUCGACAGGAUUAACUACGAAAGAUGCAAGACCGGCUGCGUCGACAGGAUUAACUACGCAAGAAGCAAGACCGGCUGCGUCGACUGGAUAAACCAAACAAUGCUAUUGAUUAAAGGAGUUAAAUUCAUCUGUUGAAAAAUUGUCUUCAUCAGUUGAUAUUUAAGUAAACUGCUUUUGCGAAAAUUACAUUUCAGUUCCUUUAAAUUAUAAAUGCAGUUCUUAUUCAUUGGUCGAUUACACUCACAGGAAAUCUGCCAAAACUUGAGUUGUGUCACACAUUAUAAAAAGUAAAAUGUGACAUAUGGCUAAUAAUCUUGCUGAAUUGAUUGAUAUUUAUGAUGUAAUUGAAGUUUAUUUGAUAGGUUGAUGACAAAUCUAAUUAAAUGAAGUUAAAUUUAAA